GGAUGUGGGGGCAGUCUGGCUGUGACAUCUGUCACCCCACUGAUUGCUAGGGUUGAUCUGGCUGACCUGACUGGCUAGGCCGGUGUCCCCUUCCUCCCAUGGGACAUGUGCAUUCCUCCCGAAGCUACGUGCUUUGUCGUAGAGGAUAACAUUCCCCAAUAGAGGAGGACCCAUCUCAAGGUCCAUUUGUAGGAAAACAUGGGAUAGUCACGCUUCCAAGACUCCAGACAUAUCCUAAUAAGUCUGCCUUUAAAAAGAGGAAAAAGGGGGGCUUCCCUG
rnacentral:snRNA from 1 species